UACGUAGGUGACAAGCGUUGUCCGGAUUUACUGGGCGUAAAGAGCGCGUAGGCGGUCGUUCAAGUCGAGUGUGAAAGCCCCCGGCUCAACUGGGGAGGGUCACUCGAUACUGAUCGACUCGAAGGCAGGAGAGGGAAGUGGAAUUCCCGGUGUAGUGGUGAAAUGCGUAGAUAUCGGGAGGAACACCAGUGGCGAAGGCGACUUCCUGGCCUGUUCUUGACGCUGAGGCGCGAAAGCUAGGGGAGCAAACGGG
rnacentral:rRNA from 1 species